rnacentral:hammerhead_ribozyme from 1 species
AUACAGCUAACGAGUCCCAGAUAGGACGAAACGCGCGUUCUGGAU